GGCGCCAUGUUGGCUGCUCCGGGCUUCGUGCGUUGCCUCCGAGCGGCGCGCACCGCCCUGCCCCGGUGCCGCGUCCCGCCUCCUCGCAGCUGGGCCGGGCUCGAGGCCGCUCUCCAGCAUCGCUACCCUGUGGCUGCCUGAGGGAAGAAGGGGUCUGCGCACACGUGGCGUGUGGUGAGGGGCUGUGCGGGCAGGGGGGACACAGCUCACCUCAGAAAGCCAGGGGUGCACGUGAGGGAAAACUGACAGAAAGCGGUGCUAAAUAUGUGGAAAAGUAGCGAGCUUGGCUUGCACGGGUCCUUCCAGGCUUGCUGUGAGAAGGUGAGCGCCGUUGAGCCGCGGGGCAGUUCCUCCGAGUACUCUGUCGGUCACGUUUUGGGGAAAAAAAUCAGGUGUUAGCACUGUGACUGUGUUCUGGGUAACUGCUGCUGAGGCACAUGCCGUCAGACAAAAAUGUUCAGCCCGGACGGCUUUUAACUUGCAGUUCGUCUAGCCAGGAGUGCGGUCAGAAAACCCUCUAUGCAAUGGCACGAGGAAAAGAUAAAAAGCAGUAAUGAAAAGCGGCAAAGCAGUUAGCUGCAGCAGGCACAGACUGCUCUGUCUGUCUGGGAACACUGCGCUUGGAAAACCUGCAGCAGCGGUUCUGCUUAGCAGGUGAGCUUUGUGUCCUCGCAGGUGUGUGAUGGGCGUAAGCAGCUGUUGGAAAUUAGUUUUUCUGCGAAGGUGUGGUUGUUUGUUUGUUUUUGUAUUUCUUUGAUAUUAUCAAGACUACCAAAGUACGCUCGCGGCGUUCCCAGCAGGUGUGGGCUGCAUUUAUUGCACCUGGUUAGAAACCUGAAGUUGGAAGCUGAGUUGCAUUAGAAGGGCCGGUGAGGAGCUGAGCACCACUGCUCAGGGACAUGACUUGGAAAGCAUGAUUUUCAAAAAUUCCUGUACGGCUUCAAACAAGGAAGGCUUCAACGAAAUUCUACAAAGGGCCUGCUGGUGUCUGGAUUGGAACUUCAGUGUGGGUGUGCACUGUGUGCAUCUGGGUCACUGAGCUGCUGCAGUUGGAAUGCCUCUGUGGCAGUCAUUAAUCUGGGAGCUCCUGGAGCACAUGUCCCUAAGAAGCUGCAAACACAUGGGAGCAGUUGUAAUGCAGGACAGAGAUCGGGCUGAGCUGGUUGCACAGUGCAAGAACCCCAGAGGAGAGAAAGCUGCACAUGGAUUAAGGUGUGGUGAUCUACAGCGAUUCCACCUCAGGAUGAAAGCAGAUACCCUCUCAGGGAUCCAACCCAUCAGUGUGUUCAUCCAGGUUUCAGAAGACUCCUACAAGUUUAAACAAGUGCACCGAAAAAGUUUGUGUUUGUAAACAUUUAUUUUCUUGAACUGAAAAAGGCUUGCAUCAGCACACAUUGUACAGCCUUGCAAAUUACACAAAUUGAAAAAAAUGUUUGUUUCAUUUU